AUCUCUUUGUCUCUCUGGCCGCCUCUGCCUCCAUCUCUGUGUGUCUGCGUCUUCGUCCCUGUCUCUGAGUUUCGGCUUGGGUGUCUCUCUCCUACCCCGGUCUCUCUGUGUCCUGUCUGUCUCUGCCUCUCCUGUCCCUCUCUCCGCAGCGCCCUCCCCGUCUCUGUCUCUCUGAGUCCCUAGCUCGCUCCUUCUCUAAAUCUGUGUCCCUAUAGCCCCCUGCGUCUCUCUGACUCUCCCUGCAUCUCCCUCCCCUGUCUGUGAAUUUCUCUGUGUCCAUCUUCUGUCCUCUCCCUCCGGUCCCUGGCUCCCUGCCGUGCUUCCUCUGGUCCCGAGUCUCCCCUUCAUCUCCCGCCUGGCCCUCCUCCCUGUGGCCACCUCCUCCCUGCGGCCUCUCGGGGCAGGGUGGGCGCCUGGGCGUGCUGCGCGCGCCCUCAUGUGGCCGGCAGACGCUGCGUGUGAGCGCCAAAAGGGGAGUGCUGGGGAGCGGGGGACGCUGGUGUUCGCGGUGACACUGGGAAAUGGCGUGUGACACCUGGAGGCUGUGUGAGUGUGUACUGCCGGGAGACGGCGUGAGACAUCUGGAGAGUGUGUGAGUGUGUACUGCCGUGAUGGUGUGUGACUCCAGGAGAUCUGUGAGUGUGUACUGCUGUGAGAUGGUGUACGACGCCAGGAAACUGUGUGAGUGUCGACUGCCGUGAGAUGGUGUGCAGUGCCAGGACCAGGACACCAUGAGUGUGUACUGCCAUGAUGGUGUACUGGUGAGAUGGUGUGUGGUGCUGGGAGUCUGUGUGUGACUGAUUGAUAUGAGAUUAUGUGCGACAAGGAGAGACUGAGUGGGACUGCAUAUGUCAGAGAUGACAUGUCGCUGACUGUGUGUGACACUGAGAUUACUGGUGAUGCUGAGAGAUUGUGGGUGACUGUGUGUGCUGAUGAAAGGUUAUGUGUGAUCGGGUGUGGGAGAGACACUCUUUGGGGCUCUGUAUGGGACAUUGAGAGACCGUAUGUGGGAGUGAGAGACCGUGUGUGACGGUGCGUGUGAGGGGGCAGUGUGUGUGGCUGUGUGCAACAUGGUGAGCAUACGGUGCUGUGUGUGUCACACAAGUAGAUUCUGUGUGAGAGAGAGUGAGACUGAUGACUGAUGUACACUGAGAGGUGGUGUGGGCAGGUGUCAUGAGAGGCACAUAGGGGGCCUGGGUGGGACAGACACAGUGAGUGUCAGUCUGUGUUGGCCACUCUGUGUAUGGCUUGUGAAAAAGUGCGUGAUCCGGGCACAUUGCUGUAAUCCCAGCACUUUGGGUGGCUGAGGCGGGAGGAUCCCUUGAGGCCAGGAGUUUGAGAUCAGCCUGGGCAACAUAGGGAGACCCCUCCCCCCACCCCCGCCGUCUCUACCAAAAUAAAAAUAAAAGAAAUUAACCAGGUGCGGUUAUGUACCUCUGUGGUCCCAGCUACUGGGAGGCUGAGGUUGGAGGAUCGCUUGAGCCUGGGAAGUGGAGGCUGCAGUGAGCUAAGAUCGCGCCACUGCACUCCAGCCUGGGUGACAGAGAGAGAGACCUUGUCUCAAAAAACAAAACAAAACUGCGUGACUAUGUGUGACACUGAGCUGGUGAGAGAUGGCAGCGUUGUGACAGUGCAUGCGAGAGUUUGCGGCUGUGCAGGGCACUCGGAAGCGAGAGCGUGAGGGAGGCCUUGUGUGUAGAAGGCAAGAGAUGAUGGAGAGGUGGGAGUGAGUGUGUGAAACGCUGCGAGCUUGUGUGGGACUCUGUGAGACACUGAGCCAUCGUGGGUAGCUAGGUAUGACACCAGGAGAUGGGUUGCGUGCGUGUGUGUGACAGGGACAGACUGUGUAUGGAGGGAAUGUGUCAGAUGCGUGUGACACCAGGAGACUGUGAGAGAAUGUAUGUGACCUUCCAUGGUUGUCACUGGACAGGCGACUGGGUGUUACUAUGAAAUACUAUAAAACAGUGUGUACUUGACAGGUUGUAUUGGGUAAUUGCAUGCCACCGUGAGACACAGAAAGUGUGAGACUGGGACAGGGUGUGAGAUUGAGAGAGUUUAAAUGGCAUGCAAGGCCAGGCGCGGUGGCUCACGCCUGUAAUCCCAGCACUUUGGGAGGCCGAGGCGGGUGGAUGACCUGAGGUCAGGAGUUCAAGACCAGCCUGGCCAACAUUGUGAGACCCUGUCUCUACGAAAAAUACAAAAAUCAGACGGGCGUGGUGUCAGGCACCUGUAAUCCCAGCUACUCAGGAGGCUGAGGCAGGAGAAUGGCUUGAACCCAGGAGGCGGAGGUUGCAGUGAGCUGAGAUUGGGCCACUGCACUCCAGCCUGG
rnacentral:lncRNA from 1 species